rnacentral:rRNA from 1 species
GACGAACGCUGGCGGCGUGCCUAAUACAUGCAAGUUGAGCGAUGAAGAUUGGUGCUUGCACCAAUUUGAAGAGCAGCGAACGGGUGAGUAACGCGUGGGGAAUCUGCCUUUGAGCGGGGGACAACAUUUGGAAACGAAUGCUAAUACCGCAUAACAACUUUAAACAUAAGUUUUAAGUUUGAAAGAUGCAAUUGCAUCACUCAAAGAUGAUCCCGCGUUCUAUUAGCUAGUUGGUGAGGUAAAGGCUCACCAAGGCGAUGAUACAUAGCCGACCUGAGAGGGUGAUCGGCCACAUUGGGACUGAGACACGGCCCAAACUCCUACGGGAGGCAGCAGUAGGGAAUCUUCGGCAAUGGACGAAAGUCUGACCGAGCAACGCCGCGUGAGUGAAGAAGGUUUUCGGAUCGUAAAACUCUGUUGGUAGAGAAGAACGUUGGUGAGAGUGGAAAGCUCAUCAAGUGACGGUAACUACCCAGAAAGGGACGGCUAACUACGUG